CUCUUCUUGUUUAUUUUUUGAAGUAGGGCCUGCCCGCUGAUUUAUUGAAGGGCCGCGGUAUUUUGACCGUGCAAAGGUAGCAUAAUCAUUAGUUCUUUAAUUGUGAACUGGUAUGAAUGGCUUGACGAAGUGCCUUCUGUCUUUAUUGGGAAUUGUUUAUUGAAUUUGGUGUCUGGGUAAGAAUACCUAGAUUUUGUUAUGGGACGAGAAGACCCUAUAGAGUUUUAUGUGGCUUGCUCUUUAUUGGUUUGUGUUGUGUCGUUGAGUUUAGUUGCAUUUUGUUGGGGUGAUGGGAGAGUAUAAGUAACCUCUUCUUUUUAGUGUUUCAUUUAUUUAUGUUUUUAU
rnacentral:rRNA from 1 species